AUUAGGCCUUAAUUCGUCCCUUGUGAUAGCAAAAGUAUGCUUCGCAAAGACAAGAUAAUGGGCGGAAGACCCAGAAUAACUCAUCUAGAUUCUGUAUCUGAAGUCUCUUUAGUCAUUACUCGUUCAAGCAGUAAGAUAAUGGUACCCAACUAAAUACGGAAAGUUUACUUGUUUUUGAGCAUAAAAUGUCGAGAAAACAAGCUUUUGGAAUUAUUAAAGUUGGAAGACCUAACGAAAAGAAUUCUUUAAUAGGGGUUUGCUUUAAAUCUUUCAUUUAUAAUAUUGCUUUUGAGAUAAUGGGGACCAAAGAACAAACUAGUACUUUUUUAACUUUUAAUCGCUAAUAAAUGCAAUAGAAGAGCGUAAAUCUUGCUAUUUUUGGCUACAGCAUGAUAGUGGUAUAACAGCUGAUUUCUUUGAAGUAUCAUAUGGCACUGCAAUCACUACUAUGCAAGUGCUACAGGUGAGAAUCAGUGCUGCAGAGAUGGAGAGAGCAAGUCUGGUCAGGGGUAACUAGCUUAAGUUGCUAGGCAACCUAAUAAUCUCAAUGGAAUAAUCCACCCACGCAACGGAAGUUUCCUAUCCCUUUCAUUUACUCUAAUAUCUAUGAUUAUACAGAAUAAAGAUGGAUGACAGUGUAAAUGAUUUGAUUAUGGAGUUAAAGAGACUAAAUUGUACUUCUAGGGAGAUUCAAAGUUUUAUUCGUCCCAUCAAAGAACUGAGUAUGAGACAUAUUCAAAGAAUUUUGCAGAAAUCAGGUUUUGGAAGGCGUAGAAGAGAUUCUUUGCAAGAUGUUAUAGCUGCAAUCCAUAAUGAAUUAAAUGGGCCUGGAAGUUUGCUUGGUUAUAG